rnacentral:lncRNA from 1 species
ACGAUCAGCGUUGUCAUGCCGUUGGCUUCUACACCUAUAAUGCUUUCAUAGCGGCUGCAAAGACUUUUCCUGCCUUCGCUACAACUGGCGAUGAUGCCACUCGUAAGAGGGAAGUUGCUGCUUUCAUGGGCCAAACUUCCCAUGAAACUACUGGUUAGUCCUAUUUUGAAAGUUAAUAAUAGUAAUAACUUACCAUCUUUUCAACAUGGCUAAUAUGCUAACAAUUCUCAAAAAACAUUAUCAUCUUAACAAUUAAUUUGAUGAUGCUGUAGGUGGACCAGGUUGGGAUGCACCCGGUGGUCCAUAUUUGUGGGGAUACUGCUACAAUAAGGAAGUAAACCCCGCUUCAGAUUACUGCGAUUGGACAAACCUAGAAUACCCUUGUGCAUCUGG